rnacentral:lncRNA from 13 species
GUUUGCAAUGGUGCAAUGUCUGGUGUUCACACUCUGGGUCUGUGCUGUGGCACUGCAUUCCCAUGGAAGUACAGAGAGAGUAUCUCAAACGACUGAGCCAAGUGUCUCUAGGAGCACAGACCCGACGGCUGAGACAGUUACUUUAGGACCAGUUGAGACCCAAAGCCCUGAUACACACACAGACCAGAGCAUAGAAGAAGAACAAGAACCACUUCCCUCAGACCCCUGUCAGGAUGAGGAGAUGGAUAAGGUGAGAGCCUUAUGAUAAUCUGAGGCCUGUCUUAAAACAGUUCAGAUUUACAGAUUCUCUCCUUUUUCUUUCUUUCUUUCUUUCUUUCUUUCUUUCUUUCUUUCUUUCUUUCUUUCUUUCUUUCUCUCUCUCUCUCAGAGCGUGUACCAGAGGGAUUCUCAUGGUGUUAUGCAGCUGGUUCAGGGAGAGGACUACAAAAACACUUGCAACCUAUCAGACAGUAAGACACAUGCACAAAGACACACUCACACAGGUGCACACGCAUACACACACACUGAAUCCUGUCUGUAGCUCCAGGUGAACAGGCCCACUGUCUUAUCUACCCUACCAAUCAACUCAACUGCUCCUGGAAUUUCCAUGGUCUCCCUAACGACAGCCAAUCCUACGCCUCCGUCUUGUAAGCCCUUCCAACAAUAUCCAAGAAAAUAAAAAGUAUUAACAAUAGUAAUAGUACAAUCUUGUCAAUUCAUAGGUUAUUACUGUGUAAUUACCAUUUUACUGUAUAAUCUCAUUUUAGUACAUGACACCAACCCUCAAUCAAGGUGUUUGCUUUAAGCGCUGCUGUGUGUGGGUGUGUGUAUGUGUAUGUUUGAAUAUCAGUGUGUGUAAGAACACUGAGAGAAUCUCCAGUGUGGACUGUGUCACUGAGGCCAUAGGAGGCCAAGGAGCCCAGGGAGGGACUGGAAAGGCUGACCGUGUGGUUGGAAAUGUGUCUACUGGGUGCCAAGGCAGUGUGGACAACAGCGCCACCUCGGUGAUCCUGACUUUCAACGUGUCAUGCUCUGACGUGUGGGGCAUCUACACCCAUAAAUACCAGACCAAAGAUAUUGAUGUGCUGGGCCCGCCCCCCGACAUCAACCCAGCCUGGGUCAGAGAGGGGGUUCUGCUGGUGCAGUGGGGUCUCCCAUCCAUCCGGUCAGCUGCUUCCACUACCAGCUGCUUCCACUACCAGCUACAGAUCAAUGGCCAGGUGAGGGACUUUAAGGAUUUACUGACAUACAAUGAGACCAACUUAGACCCCACACAUUCACACGAUGUGAAGAUGAGGGUGAGGAGGAGUAAAACCUGCAGAGGAUCUCAACACUGGAGCAGCUGGAGCAACACCACCAAGGUGGCCCCGUUUGAAUUUCCCAAUCAGCUGAACUCUCUGGUGGUCGUUGGCAUCGCUCUGGGAAUACCCAUGAUCCUCCUGUCUCUGCUGCUGCUGAUUCGACUCCAAAGGGAACGUCUGUUUCCCCACAUCCCUGGUCCCCCACUGAAGAUUAAACACCUCUUGGAGAGAGACGACCAGUUUCAGUUUGUCCCUCAGGCCCUGCAGUCCAAAUUUGUUGAGGAGAUCACAGUGGUGGAGGAAGCUAAGGAAACACCUGUGAAUUUGGCCAGUUAAACAAGAUGGCUUGUUUAAAGCCCAAUCAUCCUAAUCCCCUAGACUGUGUAAGGGACGAUUUGUAAGGAGGAUCCCCUUAGCAGAUGCAGUCAUUACCAUUUGUUAAUACCUAUCCAAUCCUUUCAAGAGUGGAUGCUACUUAUUGACAUGCAUUGUUCUUACAUGCUUAUUAGUGUCUACUCAAUGAAUUGUUCUAAUGUGCUCAGCUUCUACCAGUGUUGUAGAUCUCAAGACCGAGACCAGUCCAGUCUUGAGACCACAUAUUGGUCUUGUCUUGGUGUCAGCUACAUUCGUACUUGGUCUUGACUCGGUCUCGGACAGUGAGGACUCGUAAUUUCUUCCCUAUAGACGAGUGGAGUAAAAACACUCAAACAUAUAAACUCCUUUCUUGAAACAUUAUCUUAACAACCUUUAUCUAUUAUAGACAUGUUUACGCAGUGGUGAACCUAUAGGACUUCAGUGUGACAGGUUAGUACAGUGGUGAACCUAUAGGUCUUCAGUGUGUAACAGGUUAGUACAGUGGUGAACCUAUAGGUCUUCAGUGUGUGACAGUGGUGAACCUAUAGGACUUCAGUGUGUGACAGGUUGGUGAUUCUGAAAGGACAGCAACUGUAAUACCAGACACUCAUGUAGGAGAGUGCACUUUUUGUAAAACACAAA